AUGGCUGCACUUCUUCCUUGCAGGUGGCAAUCUGGCUCUGUAAAAUCUGUGAUGGCUGCAUUUCUUCCUUGCAGAUUGUCAGAGGCUGCACAUUGUGGAUUUGGUGGUAGAGGUGCAUGUCGGGAACGUGCGCGGUGCAUCAACGCCGUGGUCUGCACCGUACCCAACGAAGGCCAUGGAGCCUGUGGGAGAGACGCAAAACCAAAUGGAACCCUCAACCUGAAGAUGUGGACUGCAAUGUUGCUCCUGGUAUAUAUUUGCUUCCACGGGAUAAUGCUCUAUUGCUGUUGCGGCCUCCUUGUGAUGCCUUCCCAGCUACCAUCUUCUUCACUGAAGCUACAUGAUAAAGUUUCAAAUUAUGAACUAGAUUUUUGCCAAUGGCAAUGUAUUAGUACUUUGUGUUAUGACUAA
rnacentral:rRNA from 1 species